ensembl:lncRNA
GAGAAGUGAAAAUAAGUCGCUGUUAAAGUAACAAGGAAAGUUGAUGAUGAGAGCUGUACUCUACAGUCACCCUGACACCCAGUUGGGAUGGUGGAGACCUAAAGGAUUUCCUGAUGCUUUCCUUGACUUAAAGGGGCACAUACUGAGUAGUACUGUUAUAGCAUCUUUAUUUGUUCCUUUCUCCAUUUGUGUUCCUUUCUAGACCAUGGGAAUCUAUGACUCGGGGAUAACUCUGAGACACUUGGACGUAUCACUCAGGGAUAACUGAGGUCACCCCUAUUCCUCAGUGACACACUACAUCCGGCAUUGUCCCCCACUCACCCACCCACACCUGAU